AGCGCAGCGAGAAAGCGUUGCCGCAGGCAACGACCCGAAGGGCGAAGCGCGCAGCGCUGAGUCAUCCUUCCCCACCACCA
rnacentral:sRNA from 1 species